UUCUUAGAUAUUCUAUAAAUCAUUUUAUACAACAAAAACUAAAUGUAUUAAAAGGGGGCAACAAACAGGAAAAAAAAUGGGAGGCUUUAAAUGCUGAAACGCAGACAACACUCACACACACACACACAUACAUAUAUGCUUAGAACACAGAGAGAGACCCUCUACAAAUACGUGUCACAGUCAGAGCAAAAGCAACACCAGCGAGUGCCAAUCGCCGCAAGCAAGCGUAGACAAAGAAACAUGGAGAGAGAGAAAACGGAAAAGGGGAGCGCGCAGCUAAAUGCGAAUUAAAGGUCCAAUCGGAUAGGGGUCUUCCGGCUCCGGAUUCACCUUUCUUUUGUUGUAGUUCUACUUGCACUUACCCAUGAGAUCGGAUGCCAGCGCCUCCUUUUGAUCCACCGGCACUUUGGCAAUUUUUCCACCCUUGUAAACGUAACUGCCCUCAAUCGACUUGAAUUCCAGAUAACGGGUGACGCCCGUGUGUAUCAGUAGCUUCACCAGUUGGCCAUUGGCCAUUAGAAACUUGGGUAUCAAGUCCACGUUCCAGUCGCGACCACGCCCAAAUUUCUCACCAGGCGGCUCCAGACCGUACCGCUGGAAGAGCUCCUCCAGCGGCGUAAUGGAGGCCGACUCGCCGCCAUAGUAUUUGUUUCGAUCAAUAUGCAGCACUUUCUUGCCAGAAACAGAGAGCAUGCCGCUCAAUAUGCACUCCUUGAGGCCAGUGCCCAGAACUAUCGCAUCGUAUUCCUCAUUCAUGUUAGGGUUUUUUUUUUUUUUUCUUUUAAUUAGUAACCAGCAGUAGCAACUUUUCUUAAAAUGGAAA